GCCCAGGUGGUGAAACUGGUAGACACGCUACUUUGAGGGGGUAGUAGCCCUAGGCUGUGCAGGUUCAAGUCCUGUCCUGGGCA
rnacentral:tRNA from 1 species